UACGGAGGAUGCGAGCGUUAUCCGGAUUCAUUGGGUUUAAAGGGUGCGUAGGCGGAUUGAUAAGUCAGUGGUGAAAUCCUGCAGCUUAACUGUAGCAUUGCCAUUGAUACUGUUGGUCUUGAGUUUGGUUAAGGUAGGCGGAAUGUGUAAUGUAGCGGUGAAAUGCUUAGAUAUUACCCAGAACACCAAUUGCGAAGGCAGCUUACUGGACCGAUACUGACGCUGAUGCACGAAAGCGUGGGGAGCAAACAGG
rnacentral:rRNA from 1 species